GUGAAUUGAAUAUGUUAGCGGACCUCUUCGGAGCCCCUAGCAUCAAAUCAUAUCCAUAACACCUGUGAACUGUAAGGCUGUCUUGAAAACGAAAGUGAUUAGAGCGCCUGCCCAUUUUAUACAAACAUUAAAGUAACAAACGUAGUCUUAUUAUAAUCUAAUA
rnacentral:misc_RNA from 1 species